GUGGGAACGUACCCUUCAGUUCGGAACAACCCAGGGAAACUUGGGCUAAUACCGAAUACGUCCGUAAGGAGAAAGAUUUAUCGCUGAAGGAUCGGCCCGCGUCUGAUUAGCUAGUUGGUGAGGUAACGGCUCACCAAGGCGACGAUCAGUAGCUGGUCUGAGAGGAUGAUCAGCCUCAUUGGGACUGAGACACGGCCCAAACUCCUACGGGAGGCAGCAGUGGGGAAUAUUGGACAAUGGGCGCAAGCCUGAUCCAGCCAUGCCGCGUGGAUGAUGAAGGCCCUAGGGUUGUAAAGUCCUUUCGACGGGGAAGAUAAUGACGGUACCCGUAGAAGAAGCCCCGGCUAACUUCGUGCCAGCAGCCGCGGUAAUACGAAGGGGGCUAGCGUUGCUCGGAAUCACUGGGCGUAAAGCGCACGUAGGCGGACUCUUAAGUCGGUGGUGAAAUCCUGGAGCUCAACUCCAGAACUGCCUUCGAUACUGAGAGUCUCGAGUCCGGGAGAGGUGAGUGGAACU
rnacentral:rRNA from 1 species